rnacentral:rRNA from 1 species
GAUGAACGCUGGCGGCAUGCCUAAUACAUGCAAGUCGAACGAGAGGAAGGAAAGCUUGCUUUUCUGAAUCUAGUGGCGAACGGGUGAGUAACACGUAGGUAACCUGCCCAUGUGCCCGGGAUAACUUCUGGAAACGGAUGCUAAAACCGGAUAGGUAGCAGACAAGCAUUUGACUGCUAUUAAAGUGGCUAAGGCCAUGAACAUGGAUGGACCUGCGGUGCAUUAGCUAGUUGGUGAGGUAACGGCCCACCAAGGCGACGAUGCAUAGCCGGCCUGAGGGGGCGGACGGCCACAGUGGGACUGAGACACGGCCCAAACUCCUACGGGAGGCAGCAGUAGGGAAUUUUCGUCAAUGGGGGGAACCCUGAACGAGCAAUGCCGCGUGAGUGAGGAAGGUCUUCGGAUCGUAAAGCUCUGUUGUAAGAGAAAAACGACAUUCAUAGGGAAUGAUGAGUGAGUGAUGGUAUCUUACCAGAAAGUCACGGCUAACUACGUGCCAGCCGCCGCGGUAA